AUUGAACGCUGGCGGCAGGCCUAACACAUGCAAGUCGAGCGGGGUUUUCGGACCUAGCGGCGGACGGGGGAGUAAUGCGUAGGAAGCUACCCGAUAGAGGGGGAUACCAGUUGGAAACGACGGUUAAUACCGCAUAAUGUCUAAGGAUCAAAGUGUGGGACCUUCGGGCGACAUGCUAUCGGAUGCGCCUACGGUGGAUUAGCUAGUUGGUGAGGUAAUGGCUCACCAAGGCGACGAUCCCUAGCUGGUUUGAGAGGAUGAUCAGCCACACUGGAACUGAGACACGUUCCAGACUCCUACGGGAGGCAGCAGUGGGGAAUAUUGGACAAUGGGCGCAAGCCUGAUCCAGCCAUGCCGCGUGUGUGAAGAAGGCCUUCGGGUUGUAAAGCACUUUCAGUAGGGAGGAAGCGUUGUGUGUUAAUAGUACACAGCGUUGACGUUACCUACAGAAGAAGCACCGGCUAACUCUGUGCCAGCCGCCGCCGUAAUAC
rnacentral:rRNA from 1 species